rnacentral:misc_RNA from 1 species
GAUGAAGAACGUAGCGAAAUGCGAUAGGUAGUGUGAAUUGCAGAUGUAACGUGAAUCAUCGAAUCUUUGAACGCACAUUGCGCCCGCCAGUAUUCUGGCGGGCAUGCCUGUUCGAGCGUCAUUUCAACCAUCAAGCCCUGCUUGCGUUGGGGUCCUGCGGCUGCCCGCAGGCCCUGAAAACCAGUGGCGGGCUCGCUAGUCACACCGAGCGCAGUAAUACAUCUCGCUUUGGGCGUGCGGCGGGUUCUUGCCGUUAAACACCCCCUUUUUACCAAGGUUGACCUCGGAUCAGGUAGGAAUACCCGCUGAACUUAAGCAUAUCAAUAAGCGGAGGA